rnacentral:rRNA from 1 species
UACGUAGGGUGCAAGCGUUGUCCGGAAUUAUUGGGCGUAAAGAGCUCGUAGGCGGUCUGUUGCGUCCGCUGUGAAAACUCGGGGCUUAACCCCGAGCCUGCAGUGGAUACGGGCAGACUAGAGGUAGGUAGGGGAGGAUGGAAUUCCCGGUGUAGCGGUGAAAUGCGCAGAUAUCGGGAGGAACACCGGUGGCGAAGGCGGUUCUCUGGGCCUUACCUGACGCUGAGGAGCGAAAGCGUGGGGAGCGAACAGG